GCACAAGCGGUGGAGCAUGUGGUUUUAAUUCGAAGCAACGCGCAGAACCUUACCAGCCUUUGACAUCCCGAUCGCGGAUUAGAGAGAUCUUUUCCUUCAGUUCGGCUGGAUCGGUGACAGGUGCUGCAUGGCUGUCGUCAGCUCGUGUCGUGAGAUGUUGGGUUAAGUCCCGCAACGAGCGCAACCCUCGUCCUUAGUUGCCAUCAUUUAGUUGGGCACUUUAAGGAAACUGCCGGUGAUAAGCCGGAGGAAGGUGGGGAUGACGUCAAGUCCUCAUGGCCCUUACAGGCUGGGCUACACACGUGCUACAAUGGCGAUGACAGUGGGCAGCAAACUCGCAAGGGUGAGCUAAUCUCCAAAAGUCGUCUCAGUUCGGAUUGCACUCUGCAACUCGAGUGCAUGAAGGCGGAAUCGCUAGUAAUCGCGGAUCAGCAUGCCGCGGUGAAUACGUUCCCAGGCCUU
rnacentral:rRNA from 1 species